rnacentral:rRNA from 1 species
UACGAAGGGGGCUAGCGUUGCUCGGAAUUACUGGGCGUAAAGGGCGCGUAGGCGGAUAGUUUAGUCAGAGGUAAAAGCCCAGGGCUCAACCUUGGAACUGCCUUUGAUACUGGCUAUCUUGAGUUCGGGAGAGGUGAGUGGAAUGCCGAGUGUAGAGGUGAAAUUCGUAGAUAUUCGGCGGAACACCAGUGGCGAAGGCGACUCACUGGCCCGAUACUGACGCUGAGGCGCGAAAGCGUGGGGAGCAAACAGGAUUAAGAAACCCGUAGUA